UACGUAGGGGGCGAGCGUUGUCCGGAAUGAUUGGGCGUAAAGGGCGCGUAGGCGGCCUGUUAAGUCUGGAGUGAAAGUCCUGGUUUUAAGUUGGGAAUUGCUUUGGAUACUGAUGGGCUUGAGUGCAGGAGAGGUAAGUGGAAUUCACAGUGUAGCGGUGAAACGCGUAGAGAUUGGGAGGAACACCAGUGGCAAGGCGACUUACUGGACUGUAACUGACGCUGAGGCGCGAAAGUGUGGGGAGCAAACA
rnacentral:rRNA from 1 species